rnacentral:rRNA from 1 species
AGAGUUUGAUCCUGGCUCAGAUUGAACGCUGGCGGCAGGCCUAACACAUGCAAGUCGAGCGGUAGAGAGAAGCUUGCUUCUCUUGAGAGCGGCGGACGGGUGAGUAAUGCCUAGGAAUCUGCCUGGUAGUGGGGGAUAACGUUCGGAAACGGACGCUAAUACCGCAUACGUCCUACGGGAGAAAGCAGGGGACCUUCGGGCCUUGCGCUAUCAGAUGAGCCUAGGUCGGAUUAGCUAGUUGGUGAGGUAAUGGCUCACCAAGGCGACGAUCCGUAACUGGUCUGAGAGGAUGAUCAGUCACACUGGAACUGAGACACGGUCCAGACUCCUACGGGAGGCAGCAGUGGGGAAUAUUGGACAAUGGGCGAAAGCCUGAUCCAGCCAUGCCGCGUGUGUGAAGAAGGUCUUCGGAUUGUAAAGCACUUUAAGUUGGGAGGAAGGGUUGUAGAUUAAUACUCUGCAAUUUUGACGUUACCGACAGAAUAAGCACCGGCUAACUCUGUGCCAGCAGCCGCGGUAAUACAGAGGGUGCAAGCGUUAAUCGGAAUUACUGGGCGUAAAGCGCGCGUAGGUGGUUUGUUAAGUUGGAUGUGAAAUCCCCGGGCUCAACCUGGGAACUGCAUUCAAAACUGACUGACUAGAGUAUGGUAGAGGGUGGUGGAAUUUCCUGUGUAGCGGUGAAAUGCGUAGAUAUAGGAAGGAACACCAGUGGCGAAGGCGACCACCUGGACUAAUACUGACACUGAGGUGCGAAAGCGGGGGGAGCAAACAGGAUUAGAUACCCUGGUAGUCCACGCCGUAAACGAUGUCAACUAGCCGUUGGAAGCCCUGAGCUUUUAGUGGCGCAGCUAACGCAUUAAGCUGACCGCCUGGGGAGUACGGCCGCAAGGUUAAAACUCAAAUGAAUUGACGGGGGCCCGCACAAACGGUGGAGCAUGUGGUUUAAUUCGAAGCAACGCGAAGAACCUUACCAGGCCUUGACAUCCAAUGAACUUUCUAGAGAUAGAUUGGUGCCUUCGGGAACAUUGAGACAGGUGCUGCAUGGCUGUCGUCAGCUCGUGUCGUGAGAUGUUGGGUUAAGUCCCGUAACGAGCGCAACCCUUGUCCUUAGUUACCAGCACGUAAUGGUGGGCACUCUAAGGAGACUGCCGGUGACAAACCGGAGGAAGGUGGGGAUGACGUCAAGUCAUCAUGGCCCUUACGGCCUGGGCUACACACGUGCUACAAUGGUCGGUACAGAGGGUUGCCAAGCCGCGAGGUGGAGCUAAUCCCAUAAAACCGAUCGUAGUCCGGAUCGCAGUCUGCAACUCGACUGCGUGAAGUCGGAAUUGCUAGUAAUCGCGAAUCAGAAUGUCGCGGUGAAUACGUUCCCGGGCCUUGUACACACCGCCCGUCACACCAUGGGAGUGGGUUGCACCAGAAGUAGCUAGUCUAACCUUCGGGAGGACGGUUACCACGGUGUGAUUCAUGACUGGGGUGAAGUCGUAACAAGGUAGCCGUA